rnacentral:rRNA from 1 species
UGCCAGCCGCCGCGGUAAUACGGAGGGUGCAAGCGUUAAUCGGAAUUACUGGGUGUAAAGGGAGCGCAGGCGGGUUAGUAAGUUAGGGGUGAAAUCCCGGGGCUCAACCCCGGAACUGCCUCUAAUACUGCUAGUCUUGAGUUCGAGAGAGGUGAGUGGAAUUCCGAGUGUAGAGGUGAAAUUCGUAGAUAUUCGGAGGAACACCAGUGGCGAAGGCGGCUCACUGGCUCGAUACUGACGCUGAGGUGCGAAAGCGUGGGGAGCAAACAGGAUUAGAUA